rnacentral:misc_RNA from 1 species
GGUCACCGUCCGUUCAGAUGAAAUCAUCCCGCUUCUGUUGCCUUCCGAACAAGUGAAUCAAGACAUUUGCCCUACGACGCCGUCUCCGUCGGAAUCCUGCCCUAUUAAUUGCUUCCGACCCGACCCGGUCUGCGGUGUUAACGGUGUGACGUACUGGUGUGGUUGCCCCGACGCACAUUGUGCUGGUGUGCGUGUUGUGAAAUCAGGGAUCUGUGAGGUGGGAAACGGAGGUUCUGCUCCGGUUACGGGUCAAGCGCUAUUGUUGAU